rnacentral:rRNA from 1 species
CCUACGGGUGGCAGCAGUGAGGAAUAUUGGUCAAUGGGCGCGAGCCUGAACCAGCCAAGUCGCGUGAGGGAAGACGGUCCUAUGGAUUGUAAACCUCUUUUGUCGGGGAGCAAAAGACGCCACGCGUGGCGUUCCGAGGGUACCCGCAGAGACCGCAUCGGCUAACUCCGUGCCAGCAGACGCGGUACUACGGAGGAUGCGAGCGUUAUCCGGAUUUAUUGGGUUUAAAGGGUGCGCAGGCGGAAGAUCAAGUCAGCGGUAAAAUUGAGAGGCUCAACCUCUUCGAGCCGUUGAAACUGGUUGUCUUGAGUUAGCGAGAAGUAUGCGGAAUGCGGGGUGUAGCGGUGAAAUGCAUAGAUAUCACGCAGAACUCCGAUUGCGAAGGCAGCAUACCGGCGCUCAACUGACGCUCAUGCACGAAAGUGUGGGUAUCGAACAGGAUUAGAUACCCGGGUAGUC